UAUGAAACGUUGCCUGCGGCACAAAAUGUGCCGCACUGAAAUGAAGGCAUUGCGCUUCCGACGGCGCAGGCAUUGCGCAGGAUGUUUACAAAAAUAACGAGCAAGAUGGAUGUACAUGCAUUUAGUGUAUAUAAAAAGGAAAAAGAAAAUCAUUUCACCUUAUGAUCAGACGAAAACUUUAUGUGUACAGUCAGUGCACAGACCUAAAUCAUAGUUCAACGACAAAGAGGUGCAGAUUAUUCAGACAUGAAAGAGAUGUUGCGUAACGGAAAAUCUCGUUUAUCCGGUGUCGGACGAGCGGUAUCCCAGACACAUGUGGCUAAUACUCCGCAACAUAGUCAAGCGGAAUCUGCAGUAUCUGAAGGCACAACAGUUUUUAGUGCGGCAGAGCUUAAAUUGAUGAAAGACACAUUAUCAGAAGUGCCAAGUAGAAAUUCUGAAUAUGAAACACGAAAGUCUUGCUGCAGAAAAGAUGCGGUCAGAUCAAAUGAAAACUAUAUUCACGGCUGUAGAAAGCAUUAAACAUGCAUGAUCUUCAUGUUUGUAACCGAACGAUUACUAACUAUAUUCAAAAUAGUGUUGAAGUAAUUUCCUUUGAUCACGUCAGUUGUUUGAAACCAUUAGCAAAUAAGAUCAUUUCAACAGAGAGUACACUUAAAGGACUUUCUAGACGAAUCAAAACUGUUAAAAGUUGAAAAGUUAGCCACAUUAUUUUAUAGUGGAAAUAACAAUAAAGGUAACAAACAUAUAGCUGAUAAUACCAACUCUCAUGGAUUCUAAAUAAGAAUGUAAAUUUGCCCUCAUUUUGUGUCUCAGACAAGUAUAGGAUAAUCUGACUGGUAUAUUUGGGUCUAUUGGGUUUUGUUAUGCAAAACUACAAUACAUCUAAGCAGACAAACACUUAUUUUGUACUUUUGAUGUCAAUAUUAGGUGAGAUAUUCCAUUUAUCAAAACAAAAUAAUGAAAAUGUUCAUGUCGCCACUUCAAAGUAUUCAAUUUGUCUGUGUGUAAAUAACAGGGAAAACUUAUUUCCGGUGCUAUUUAGUGUUUGUUUGUAUUUAGCAUUGUCAGAGUAGGAAUAAAAAUAUCACCAGAGAAAUACUUCGUGUAUAUCUUGUUUAAUAAAAUCGUAAACACGUUGUUUCCAAAAUGGCUGCAAGAUACGUUACAUGGAAAUCUCAGUACAAAAAUAUAAUUAAGAACGAUCUAUUGUGCCUCCAAUAGUGAUUUCCGAACUAAUGAAUCAAUUUGCUACCCCGAAUUGAUAUCAUAUACAUCCACCAAUAACACCUGAUCUUUUUAAAAUGGGUCAAAUAUUGAAAUCGGCAAUGCUACUUUAACUCAUGCAAGAUACGUUACCUGUAAAAGCAGUU